rnacentral:rRNA from 1 species
AUACGGUAGGGAGCAAGCGUUAUCCGGUAUUUACUGGGUGUAAAGGGCGCGUAGGCGGGACUGCAAGUCAGGUGUGAAAUCUGGUGGCUCAACCACCAAACUGCACUUGAAACUGUGGUUCUUGAGUGAUGGAGAGGCAAGUGGAAUUCCUAGUGUAGCGGUGAAAUGCGUAGAUAUUAGGAGGAACACCAGUGGCGAAGGCGACUUGCUGGACAUUAACUGACGCUGAGGCGACGAAAGCGUGGGGAGC